AGAAAGAUAGACACCUGCAGACCUGCUUCACUGCUCGUGAGUGGGGAGUGGGGGCUCGAACCUAGGGACCACUUUUUUAUUCACCAUCUGACCUGUGCCUAGCAGACUGUUGGUGCUUCAUAAACCCUCAAUAAAUACUCAUCAGUGAAGGAAACCCCUGGUGCUCUAGCUCAAUUUCUUUAUUGUCCUCCCUCCUCUAAAGACCUAAGGGGUGUUUGCAGGGUCAGCCCCAUCCGUGGUCUCUGUUGAGGGAAAAGUUACAGAAGUUACUGCCCAGAAGUGGGAGUGGUUACAGGUGUGGUUGGAAUGUUGGUGGAAGGACCACUCAGAGACAGGGGUGGUUACAGGUGUGGCUUGGGAGGUGUAGGUGGGUUUUGAGUUUAUAGCCCAGAAACAGAGCUCUCUUGGGCUCGCUCUCUUUUUAGCCCAGACAGCAUCAUGUAAGUCUCUUCCUUUGCUCUCUAGUGCCCUCUCUCCCAGGACCAUCAUGUGACUAUCCAGGCUAUAAGUCAGUCGGGUCCUCUUCUUUCUCUUUCUUUUUCUCUACCUCUCUCUCUCUUUUCCUAACAUGUUCUGUUUUCAAUAAAACUUUAAUUUACCUGAA